AUCUCCUGGAAGGGGACAUGGAGGUACAUACAGUUGGGACCGUGAGAUCAUAUCUUCUUGGGUGACAGAAUUUAGGAUUUGAUUAGGGUUCCUCUAGCUAAACAGAGGGGUUAUGAGGACCCUUUGAAGCAGAAGAGUGGGAGUUAAGGGAGAGGACGAAACUCCCUCCCCAAGAGAAAGUGGGGGCAGCCACUCUGCCUUCAGACAUCUUGGGCAGGCUGCCUCUUCUUGCUUUGCCCUCAGGGAGGGAUGACAUUGGAUUCUCCAUUUGCAGACUGAGACAAUGAAGCAUUCCUCUGACUUAGAGGUAAAUGAGUGUUUUAGACUAGCCUUAAAAACACCCUCAUAGUUACUAUUGACAUUUUAAGUUAAGAAAAAAAGUAGCCAAUGCCAGGAGUACCCACAGGACACUGGGGUUUUCUCUGAAGCUGUAAUUAAUAAUUUUAGACUUACAGAAAACUUCCUGUAGCUGUCUUGUUACUGGUGGUUACUUGAGGAAAGGGUUGUCUGUCGGCUCUCUGAUUUGUCUGUCAACACAGCUUGACAGCAAACAGAUCACUAUGCUAUUUGCUUAAUGCAAAUUCUAUCUUCUUUUGAAAAAGUUAAUGUUUUUCAUCACAGAUUAAAAAAUCUUAUCAGAUUCUGUUUGGUGUUUCAAAUUAGGAAAAGGGGACCAACAGCCAACAUCCAGAGGGCACUUGAGGCUUUCUUUAAGUAGAUUAUUAAUAAUUUUAGAUGUACUAGAAUACCUCUCUAAGCAAGCGGUGCCUUCUCUUCAUUUGUCUAUGUACUUAGUUCUUUGGACUUGUGGAUAUCUAUUAUAUUUUGUUGGUGAUGAUGCAAUAAUAUCAUGGUUUGUUUUGUUGAUUAAAUCACUGUAGCUUUGACUAUUAAAACUCCUCUAAGCUGAUGUCUGUAGCUGUUUGACCUUCCCCAACGAGGAUUCAGGUGCAUUUUCUAUUUCUCCUUUCCCGAUCCCAAGACAAACAGCUCUCUAAGAAGACUGGCUCCUUUUUUUUUUUUUUUUAAAUUGGAGAAAGAUGCUUAGAAAGAAGGUCUGUAUGUCACCGAGGGUCAUUUCUUUAGUAGGCUCCCAACACAUGGGACUAGGAAAUGAAAUGGGCUUGUAUCCAGAUCUUCAUUUCAAGAGAGAUGGUACCUUACGAGUCUUUCACACCAAUGUGGCCAUUGAGCGAGUUUCUGCUUGAAACCGUUUUAUCCAAGAACAGACAGAAAAGUAAUUUUGAAUGCUUGGGAUCUUCACUGUCUGCAAGUUUGAUAAGAACGUUCCAGCAUGGUAGCUAGGAAGAGGUCUUAGGAAACUACUUAUUCACACUAAUACGCCCUCCACUAAUGCUGCCAUCUAACGAUGUCUAAUAGACACGAAUGGGGAUAAUUUGGUCUACUUUGCCCAUUAUAAAAAGGGAGUCGUUAGUAAGAUUAUUCAGUGAUGGGAUGGAAAAAAAUGUACUGAACCAAAGCUGAAGACCAGGAGGCACAAAUCCCAUCUGAGGCUCCUUUCUGUAGAUGUUUUGUAAAGCAGUAUUUGGAUACUUUAAUUUAGAAUAUCAUACGUGAAACAUGACUCUAAGAACUUAGCUGUCUAGAAAAUUGAUGGAAUGCUAUAAUAAUGCUUUAUAACAUGAUUUUUUUGUUUUUGUUUUUUGUUUCAAUUUACUUUGUUUUGUUUGAGACAGGGUUUCUCUAUGUAGCUCUGGCUGUCCUGGAACUUGCUCUGCAGCCCAGGUGGGCCUCAAGCUUGCAGAUCCACCUCCUUAGCCUCCUGAGUGCUGGGAUUAAAGGCAUGCACCACCACCACCCAGCUAUAAAGUGAUGUUAAACACAUGAAAUCAUAUACACUUGUUAGUUGUCUGUGAUUUUAAGUGGUCACCUUCUAUUUAAUGAGUUUUGAAAUCUGGGCUGGGAAGAUGGCUCAGUAGUUAAGACUAUGUUCUGUUCUUACAGGGGUCUGUUCCCAGCUCCAUGCUAGGUGGCUCACAAUUGCCUGCAACUCUAGCUUUAGGGGAUCUGGUACCCUUUUCUGGACUUUGAGGGGUCUGUGUAAACCCACCCCCUUAUAUAGUAAUAUACAAUUAAAGAUAAAAAUUUAGAAAUUUAGAGCCUCUGUGAUCCCACUGUUGAUCUACUAGCUUUGGUUUCUUGUGAGUGUUUAAUGCACACAGUGACCACUUCUCACUGUGUUUCCACAACUUCUUUGCACAUCCAAUCUGUUCAUUGUGUUUAAUUGUAAUUUGAUUGGGAGAACUCUUUAUGUACUUUGGAGAUGUAUAAAUUUGUUUAUAAGGCAUCUGGAAGUAUGCACCAUGUGCUAGAUCCUCUUCCGAGGAAAUCCAAAGGCAAGUGAAGCAGAUGUGAGUGCUUUCUUAGCUAGUGUCCAGGGGGAAGCGCCAUCACGUGCAGAUGUUUUAACAACACUGUGACCUGAUUUCCAACUUUGGCCAUGCCAUUUUGUUGAGGUGAAGAAUUUAAAAAUAUUUAGAACGAUGUUACCAAUACUUUUUCUUUGUGUUUUAAUUUUAUAUUUUUCCCUUUCUAAAUUUAGUUGCGACACCUACUUCUCCUUUUUUGGGGGAAAGACAAAGACUUUAUCUCAUCUUACAGAUGACUGUGCAUCAUGAAAGGAAACCAGGACAGGAACUCAAGGCAGGAGCCUGGAGGCAAGAGCUGAACCAGAGAACAUGGAGAAAUGUUGCUUCCUGGCUUGAUUGCUAUAAUACUAGGACCGUCAUAUUUGGAAGGAGAGGCAAUGUGGAAACAGGGAACUCCCAGACUGGACCCACAUACUAUACCUCGAACUUUACAGAGCCUGUCUGGGUGGUGUCGAAGGCAUUGAAGAGGUAAUGUGCAUAUGUGCUGGCAUCUGCAAAGAAGAGGGGAAAGCAGGCAAGGAUCGUUUACCAUCUACCCUACUCUGCCUAUCGUCACACAGGCAUCAGCAAAUCCAUAUAUCGAACAACUCCAGCUUCCACCUUGUGAAAACCAGGGUGAGCUGAGCAGGCUGCUGGGAACACACGAACCACACAGCACAAUGGCCAGUCAGAGAGGACGCAGGAUGGGUUUGCAUCGCAGAACCAGUUUCCUGGUGGAAGCAGAUACUCUGUUCAGUAUCCUUGAUACUGAGGAGGGGGAAGGCCAGGUGCCACAUGACCUUGUGUGGAGAAAUAGGUCUCCAUAGUUGUAAUCGAAAGGUAAAGAUUAAUCACGAAGAAAAGAUGUGAUUUUUAUUGAAGCAAACUGGAAGAAAAUACAAUGCAAGGAAACCAGGAAGAAGUCACCUGGGACGGUGCAGCAACCAGGUUCACACAGCAGCCCCACAGUAUAACAAAGAACACCCCCAAACGUGUACAGAGGUGAGAGAACUUGCCUUCCAGAGAGCACCGGGAAGAUGACUGCCUCAUAGGUAUGUUUUCUAGUUCACUAGAUGCUGCCAAUCACCUUCCAAAGCCAUUUCCCUAAUGGACACUUCGGUUAGUAACCCAAGGCUUCAAAGGAUCAUAGAAUGGCCCAGACAAGGAUGGCCAAUGACAGGACACUAAUAAUAUUUUGACAAAGACACAUAUGCUCUAUCUCUCCAGAGAGGACUCAGCAAAGGAAGAGAAAUCAUAUCUCUCAGUUAGAGUCAUUUGCCAAUUUCUAUUGUUUGCUGGAAACUACAGCUUCUGGAAUCUCCUCACUGGACAUAUUGUCAGCAGAGGGCUGCACAGCUUGAUGACGUAGGCUCUGAAGUCAGAUGGAGCUGCCAGCCGACCCCAAGGACAGUAAUUUACAAUCUCUUGCUUUAGACUAGAUAUCUAGGUUCCAGUUUCCUCAUCCUUCAUCAGGAUGAAGUCCCUGAUGAGCCAUAUCACAGUGUUGUGAUGGAGAUAAAGUGACAGGUGACUUAAGUAUCAGGUUUUGCAGUCAACGUCCUUAUAGAACAUUGUAUGUCUGACAGUAAUGAUCCUUUCAUCUUGAGGGUGUCAAGUUGUCUCCCUGAGAUCUAAGACUCCUAGUUCCAUUGUGACAAUCUGGACCCGAGGAGCAGGGCAGUCCACAGGAACUACUAGCAGUUAGAAUUUACCAAACAUGUGGAACAACAAGUCUCAGCGGUUGCAGAAGCAUCCAGGCAUGCAAAAACUAAAACCAAUACUGCUAUGGUAUCCCAUCCCCGGGGACCUGCUGUACUGGACAAGCCAGAAUGACCAUGAAUCAGAACACCAACUACAUGCAUACCGUGUCUCUACAGUCCACAAACAACUCCCUGUCCAUUGGAUUAGAAGUACCCUCCUCUAGGGUUUUUGCUGUCAGCCCGUCCACCUUAUAAGACAACCCAGUGAGACCUGCAACGUGGACCGUCACAGUGUGGAAUUAGCAGAGUCCAGAUGAACAAUGCCUGCCUUCCUGCAUCUCAUUUUCAACAGAGUCCCCCGAGUUCUCCUCCAUCCCCCUCCCUCCUGGGAAGACAUUUGUCUUCAGAGGUUGGCAAUGAGGCAUUUGCCAGUACACCCGUUCUGACAUAUUUUACAUAUGCUCCAAGAAGCAGAGGCUAAAUUACACUGGUGAGUUAUUAAAAACAGCUCUCAACGCUAUUAUUAUUUAUUGCGUUUCCAAUCCUCAGCAGCAGCUGAUUACACUGCUUAAUCUUGUACUUUUAAAAAAAAAUUUCCCACCCUGAAAUGAAUUCUCCCCGAAAUGAAUGAGCAAGGUCAGCCAUACCAAGCCCCCUGAGGAAAAGACAACUUAGGUUCUGUGGAGAAGUAUCAGUCGACCUUGGUCUCCCAAGAACUGGAGUCCCCCACUUGAAACAUGAACACUCUUCUCUACAGUGUCUCCAGAGGGACCUCCUCAAAUUCGUGGUCUCAUGGCCAGGACCUUCUACGCAGUCUCUAUGCCUGUCAUCUUUAGCUGCUGCUGACAGUUCUCGAUGCAAGGCUCCUCCCUGCCUCCAGCCCAGCCCCUCCUUUCCAGGCUACUUCUCGUCAAGCACUGGUCCCUGUCCUCCAAGUUUCCAACAUGGGGUCUGUAGCUGAAGUCCUGAGUCUGCCUGGAUACUCUGGGCCAACAUCUUUUCCUUUCAGGUUCAACUUAGGGGUUAUGGUCUCUGUGAAGCCUCCCCAGUGAGGAGUCAGAGAUUUCCUCCUGCUUCCAGGAGGCCCCAUGCUUAUGGCCGUUGUAGAACAUGACACACUCUGCUGUUGAUGUGAUGACAGUCUGCCCACGUGACCCUGACCAGUUCAACUUGCAAUAAAUCAAGGGGAUGCUUUAAAGACUAGAACCUUACUGCUGCUGCUGCUGCUGCUGCUGCUACUACUAUUUGAGCUCAGGCAAGUCUUGAAUUCUUUGUGAUCCUCUGGCCUCCUAAGUGCUGGCAUUACAAAUGUGAGCCACCACCACACCUAGCUUAAAGGCUGGAAUUUUAAAAUCAAACAUUCCAGGGUUCUAAUCUCGUUCUGCUAGUGCCUAUGUCUGGAUCCACACCUCCUGGAGAGUGUGACUGGCAGCACCCUGCUGGUAUGGCUAUUGAGAGGCUCAGUCAGGACACGAGACAGGAGGAUGUUCUGCAGUUCGUAGGAGUGCUUUUCCUUGGUACUUUCUCUUCCCUUGACCUUCCUGGUUCCUGCAGUUGUGAUGGGGCUUCAGGGAGGACAAGAUGAUGAGGAAAAAUACCAAGAAGAGGGGAGACUACCAAUGAAGAUCCAGAUUCUGAAGUUCAGGAUGGACUUUGCAACCCAUGUUCUUGGUUUUCCAGAUCAAGUCCCUGAACCAGUGAACCCGGAAGGAACCUGCUGGUGAAGAGGGAGCCCAGACAGAGGAGAAGCAAGAGACGGACUUGGUGGAGUCUGUUUUGAACCUACUCUCUCAAGGGCUACAGUGGAGCUUAUGCAUGUGGCUUUGGGGAAACGGAACCCUCCGUUGGCCUUUGGAAUUCAGGAUGUGCACAGGCAUAGUCAACACUCACUCCUGUGUAGCUUGGUAGUGAUAAUGCUUCUGUCUCUCCUCUGCUCAGGGAGCUCUGUGGUAACAGAAGAUGAAGCAUGGUGA